UGACCUCGGAUCAGGUAGGGAUACCCGCUGAACUUAAGCAUAUCAAUAAGCGGAGGAGA
rnacentral:rRNA from 1 species